rnacentral:rRNA from 1 species
AUUGAACGCUGGCGGCAUGCCUUACACAUGCAAGUCGAACGGCAGCACGGGAGCAAUCCUGGUGGCGAGUGGCGAACGGGUGAGUAAUAUAUCGGAACGUGCCCAGUCGUGGGGGAUAACUACUCGAAAGAGUGGCUAAUACCGCAUACGAUCUACGGAUGAAAGCGGGGGACCUUCGGGCCUCGCGCGAUUGGAGCGGCCGAUAUCAGAUUAGGUAGUUGGUAGGGUAAAAGCCUACCAAGCCUGCGAUCUGUAGCUGGUCUGAGAGGACGACCAGCCACACUGGAACUGAGACACGGUCCAGACUCCUACGGGAGGCAGCAGUGGGGAAUUUUGGACAAUGGGCGCAAGCCUGAUCCAGCAAUGCCGCGUGCAGGAAGAAGGCC